CCUACGGGAGGCAGCAGUGAGGAAUAUUGGUCAAUGGACGCAAGUCUGAACCAGCCAUGCCGCGUGCAGGAUGACGGCUCUAUGAGUUGUAAACUGCUUUUGUACGAGGGUAAACCCCGAUACGUGUAUCGGGUUGAAAGUAUCGUACGAAUAAGGAUCGGCUAACUCCGUGCCAGCAGCCGCGGUAAUACGGAGGAUCCGAGCGUUAUCCGGAUUUAUUGGGUUUAAAGGGUGCGUAGGCGGUUUGAUAAGUUAGAGGUGAAAUGUCGGGGCUCAACCCCGAAACUGCCUCUAAUACUGUUGGACUAGAGAAUAGUUGCGGUAGGCGGAAUGUAUGGUGUAGCGGUGAAAGGCUUAGAGAUCAGACAGAACACCGAUUGCGAAGGCAGCUUACCAAACUAUAUCUGACGUUGAGGCACGAAAGCGUGGGUAGCAAACAGGAUUAGAUACCCUGGUAGUC
rnacentral:rRNA from 1 species